rnacentral:misc_RNA from 1 species
GAUGAAGAACGUAGCGAAAUGCGAUAAGUAAUGUGAAUUGCAGAAUUCGGUGAAUCAUCGAAUCUUUGAACGCACAUUGCGCCCGCCAGUAUUCUGGCGAGCAUGCCUGUUCGAGCGUCAUUUCAACCAUCAAGCCCCAGGCUUGUGUUGGAGCCCUGCGGCUGCCGCAGCCUCCCAAAACCAGUGGCGGGCUCGCUAUCACACCGAGUGCAGUAGUUUACUCUUCGCUCAGGGCGUGUGGCGGGUGCUAGCCGUGAAACCCCCAACUUCUCAAGGUUGACCUCGGAUCAGGUAGGAAUACCCGCUGAACUUAAGCAUAUCAAUAAGCGGAGGA